rnacentral:rRNA from 1 species
CCAGACUCCUACGGGAGGCAGCAGUGGGGGAUAUUGCACAAUGGGGGAAACCCUGAUGCGGCGACGCCGCGUGAGUGAAGAAGUAUUUCGGUACGUAAAGCUCUAUCAGCAGGGAAGAAAAAUGACGGUACCUGACUAAGAAGCCCCGGCUAACUACGUGCCAGCAGCCGCGGUAAUACGUAGGGGGCAAGCGUUAUCCGGAAUUACUGGGUGUAAAGGGAGCGUAGACGGCUGUGCAAGUCUGGAGUGAAAGGCGGGGGCCCAACCCCCGGACUGCUCUGGAAACUGUAUGGCUGGAGUGCAGGAGAGGUAAGCGGAAUUCCUAGUGUAGCGGUGAAAUGCGUAGAUAUUAGGAGGAACACCAGUGGCGAAGGCGGCUUACUGGACUGUAACUGACGUUGAGGCUCGAAAGCGUGGGGAGCAAACAGGAUUAGAUACCCGUGUAAU